UUAACGAACUAAAUCUUAUUCGAGUUCGUUCUUCUCCUAAUGGAGAAAUACAUUAUCUUAUGAUGCUAUUUUCCUUGAUAUCUUCAAGGAAACUUAUCUAAAGUGUUACCUUUCCUUGGAUCAAAUCUAAGGAGGUAAAUACUGUAGAUGUCUUACUCAUCAACUUUCAUUACUUGAAUUCUUUGAAACAUUUUACAAAGUAUUCGGACUUGUGUUUAUUCAAAAUAAACUAAAGUCCAACUGAGAGUGAUCUUCGGUGAAUGUUAUUCAACAUGAGUAAUAUUAUGUUUGUGGACAAGUGCCACUAACAUCUAAGUGAAUUAACCUCAACAACUUUGUGAUUCUUUCUUCUUU
rnacentral:lncRNA from 1 species